UUUCUAGUUAACUACGAUUAUUAAAAAAAUCUGGAAUAUUAUUAUUGGAAAAUAUAAUGACCAGAAAAAAUUGAAGAAAAUAUCGGCCUUUUGUACACAGCGAUCGUCUCUACUACCGAUUAAAUAGUUUAGUGAGGUCUUUGGAUUAGUGUCGUUGUAAUGGCUUCGCCGCUCAACUGAUGCUGAGAAGAUGACCUAAUUUGACUAUUUAGAGGAAGUGAAAGUUGUAACAAGGUUUCCGUAAGUGAACCUGUGGAAAGAUCAUUA
rfam:Schistosoma curassoni strain Dakar, Senegal genome assembly, scaffold: SCTD_scaffold0004132